rnacentral:rRNA from 1 species
AUUGAACGCUGGCGGCAGGCCUAACACCUGCAAGUCGAACGAGUGGCGGACGGGUGAGUAAUGUCUGGGAAACGCCCAGAGGGAGGGGGAUAACUCCUGAAAACGGUAGCAAUAACCGCAUACCACCGGAUGUGCCCAGAUGGGAUUAGCGAGUAGGUGGGGUAAAGGUUCACCAAGGCGACGAUCCCUAGCUGGUAUGAGAGGAGGACCAGCCACACGGGAACUGCGACACGGUCCAGACUCCUACGUGAGGCAGCAGUGGGGAAUAUUGCACAAGGGGCGCAAGCCUGAUGCAGCCAGGCCGCGUGUAUGAAGAAGGCCUUCGGGUUGUAAAGUACUUUCAGCGGGGAGGCGUUACCCGCAGAAGAAGCACCGGCUAACUACGUGCCAGCAGCCGCGGUAAUUC